rnacentral:lncRNA from 1 species
UCAUCACCAUCUGAAGACCGCCACCUGCUGGGUUGCUUGUACCGUGAACUGAAAUAGCUCUGGACGUUUUGGCUUUUCUUGUGGCUGUAUAUCGACUUCUGUAUUUUGGUGGGAUGGCUGUACAUCGAUUGACUUUUAACUGUAACAUGAGGGAAGAAAAGCACAGUUUGUUUAUUCCUCGGUGAGUCGAGUGAAUAAAUUCUGAUUGUAAAACUGAAACAAUGUGGAAAAGUCCAGGUGUGCGCCCUGUCUGUUUCAGUAUGGAUCCCCCCCAGCAUGAGAGUAAAACUGAAUGUUGUAGCUUCACUACCCAUCAUGGCCCGGCACAGUGCCAGAGAACCAAUGUUCAUCAAAGUUCUAAAAAAUUCCCAAC